ACCUGAUAAAGGCAAACCAAUCGAAAGGUUGGGACGCAAAGCCACAGGCCUUCGCUUGCCAAGGAGGUAAGCAUGGCGGCUGGGUUGCCGAA
rnacentral:ncRNA from 1 species